rnacentral:rRNA from 1 species
UACGUAGGGGGCGAGCGUUGUCCGGAGUUACUGGGCGUAAAGCGCUUGUAGGCGGUCCACCAAGUUUGGGGUGACAGUUGCCGACUUAAUCGGCAAAGUGCCUCAAAGACUGGCGGACUUGAGGGCCACAGAGGGACAUGGAACUCCAGGUGUAGUGGUGAAAUGCGUAGAGAUCAGGAGGAACACCGGUGGCGAAGGCGGCCCACUGGGCUGUCACUGACGCUGAGGCGCGAAAGCUCGGGGAGCGAACGGG